rnacentral:rRNA from 1 species
UACGGAGGGUGCAAGCGUUAUCCGGAUUCACUGGGUUUAAAGGGUGCGUAGGUGGGUUGGUAAGUCAGUGGUGAAAUCUCCGAGCUUAACUUGGAAACUGCCAUUGAUACUAUCAGUCUUGAAUAUUGUGGAGGUUAGCGGAAUAUGUCAUGUAGCGGUGAAAUGCUUAGAUAUGACAUAGAACACCAAUUGCGAAGGCAGCUGGCUACACAAAUAUUGACACUGAGGCACGAAAGCGUGGGGAUCAAACAGG